AUUGAACGCUGGCGGCAGGCCUAACACAUGCAAGUCGAGCGAGUGGCGGACGGGUGAGUAAUGCUUGGGAAUCUAGCUUAUGGAGGGGGAUAACUACGGGAAACUGUAGCUAAUACCGCGUACCAUAGGAUGAGCCCAAGUGGGAUUAGGUAGUUGGUGAGGUAAAGGCUCACCAAGCCGACGAUCACUAGCUGGUCUGAGAGGAUGACCAGCCAUACGGGGACUGAGGCACGGCCCAGACUCCGGAGGUAGGAAGCAGUGGGGAAUAUUGCGCAAUGGGGGCAACCUGACGCAGCCAUGCCGCGUGAAUGAAGAAGGCCUUCGGGUUGUAAAGUUCUUUCGGUAGCGAGGCGUUACCUUCAGAAGAAGCACCGGCUAACUCCGUGCCAGCAGCCGCGGUAAUAC
rnacentral:rRNA from 1 species